CGGUGGGGAUGGGGCUACGUGCUAGUCUUUAAUACAGCAAUUCUCCUAGAACAAAGUGCACUUUCAAUGACAGCAAACAGCCCCGGGGCUGGGGAAAGGAAGCCCUCGGCCCGGACAAAGAAAAGACGACAAAAUCCCCUUUGAACCAUAGAAUCUUUAGAAGACGAUCAUCCGCUCAAGCUGCUGCCUGUUCCUUCUUUCCCAUUUCUCUGGAUUCCUGUAGAAGUAAAGAUCAUGUGUGCUUAUGGGAGAUGGCACCAUGCAUAUGCAAGACUUCUUGGGCUAGCUUUCACAUCAGACCAAUGGAGGAAUAAGCCCAUGUCCUUGUACACUCCAUUGGAAUUUAUGGUGACCCAGUUUAUGAAAGAGAAAACCAACCAGAGUGGUCUGGGUGGAGAUGGAUUCUUCUCUCCAGAUUGUGGGAGGCUGCUGAGACUCAAGAUCAAGUCAUGCUGUCUGUCAGCAGGAUGGGCUGAAGACAUCAAGACCAGCUUUUCAUUAAAAUGCCCACCAAUCAGGGUUGAUUUUUACUUGUCAGGGGCUCCUCCUUUUCUAAAAGUAUUUUAAAACUUUUAGUCUCUGCAUGGUUUUGUCUUUGGUCACCAUGAGAAACUACUGACCAUCAAUUUAUUGAUUAUUAA